rnacentral:tRNA from 4 species
CGGGGUGUAGCUCAGCUUGGUUAGAGUACUCGUCUGGGGGGCGAGGGGUCGCAAGUUCAAAUCUUGUCACCCCGAC